GAUGAACGCUGGCGGCGUGCCUAAUACAUGCAAGUCGAGCGAAUUGACAGAGGUGCUUGCACCUCUCGAUUUUAGCGGCGGACGGGUGAGUAACACGUGGGUAACCUACCUAUAAGACUGGGAUAACUUCGGGAAACCGGAGCUAAUACCAGAUAAUAUUUAGCUUCGCAUGAAGCAAUAGUGAAAGACGGUUCUGCUGUCACUUAUAGAUGGACCUGCGGUGUAUUAGCUAGUUGGUGAGGUAACGGCUCACCAAGGCAACGAUACAUAGCCGACCUGCGAGGGUGAUCGGCCACACUGGGACUGGGACACGGCCCAGACUCCUACGGGAGGCAGCAGUAGGGAAUCUUCCGCAAUGGACGAAAGUCUGACGGAGCAACGCCGCGUGAGUGAAGAAGGUUUUCGGAUCGUAAAACUCUGUUGUAAGGGAAGAACAAGUACGUUAGUAACUGAACGUACCUUGACGGUACCUUACCAGAAAGCCACGGCUAACUACGUGCCAGCCGCCGCAGUAACAC
rnacentral:rRNA from 1 species